CAGCCGUAAACUAUGCGCGUUAGGUGUAUCGGUGACCACGAGUUACCGAGGUGCCGAAGGGAAACCGUGAAACGUGCCGCCUGGGAAGUACGGUCGCAAGGCUGAAACUUAAAGGAAUUGGCGGGGGAGGCACCACAACAGGUGGAGCCUGCGGUUUAAUUGGACUCAACGCCGGGAAGCUCACCGGAUAGGACAGCAGAAUGAUUGCCGGGCUGAAGACCCUGCAUGACUAGCUGAGAAGUGGUGCAUGGCGUAGACGUCU
rnacentral:rRNA from 1 species